rnacentral:piRNA from 1 species
GACAAUGAUGGAACCGUGAUGACUUUGAGA